UGUCGUCAGCUCGUGUUGUGAAAUGUUGGGUUAAGUCCCGCAACGAGCGCAACCCUUAUCCUUUGUUGCCAGCGGUCCGGCCGGGAACUCAAAGGAGACUGCCAGUGAUAAACUGGAGGAAGGUGGGGAUGACGUCAAGUCAUCAUGGCCCUUACGACCAGGGCUACACACGUGCUACAAUGGCGCAUACAAAGAGAAGCGACCUCGCGAGAGCAAGCGGACCUCAUAAAGUGCGUCGUAGUCCGGAUUGGAGUCUGCAACUCGACUCCAUGAAGUCGGAAUCG
rnacentral:rRNA from 1 species